UGACAGUGACAAAAAGGAAGCAGCCUUCUCUAGCCCACCCAAGUUUCCAUCAAAGGAGCAAGCCUAUGUCAGUAAGAAGAAAGCUGGCUAACCCUCCCACCCCUUGUUUAACUCCUCCAGCCCAUCCCACAUCAUUGUAGAGUGAAGAGACUGCGGUUAAUAUUCAGAAAGAGGCACAGAGAACUGAAGGCUUUCCUGACUGUAAGCCAUUUAAAACGCAGACAAUGAAAACACUGACACGUGUGUGUGCUGGAUCUGGGCCAUUUGUGUUUUUUCCAUUUAAGUGAUUACAUCAGUGAAUGAGGACCUUCUUCGUACUGAAUUGCCACAAGAUGAUUGGCAGCAAGACACACCCAGUGAUGAAGGGAUGUGCUCUCCUUAAAUCACAGCCUAUUCAUCAGGUACUCCUGAGUGCUGUGUUAAGAAAUCCUGCCUACAAAGUUCCACUGAGGCUGAUAUAAAGAUGACUGUGAGAAACUGGCUGCGGCUGUCUGAGCAGAGACAGGAAUGGGGGCGGCAAAGGCGGGACAAGCAAGCAUCUUAAGUGAAAUAAUUGAUUGGACUGAUUCUGGAGUAUGACUUAUUCUGGAGGGAAUUUCUUAUUUUUGUUGCAGUUUGCUAUGGGACGGUUUCAAGGACAGGGAUUAGACUAGUUCUAGACUAAAAUAAAUGUAAGAGCUGUCCAAACUGAAAACAACUUGCACUGACAUAUCAUAAAAUACAUCAGUGUCUUUUGUGAUGCUUCAAAAUGCACACAAGUAAUGUUUUUAUUAAGACAUGUUAUUAAAACUAGUUAUAUUUCAGAAUUAAACUAAGGCCUAGUCCCGGUUUAGGAUAAUCCCUGUCCGGGAAACCACCCCAAAGUGUAAUUUGUGGAGUGUUAAAAUAAAUGAAACUGCCUUUGCAAAAACAAAGUA